rnacentral:lncRNA from 1 species
UAAUGAUCGGGUACUUACCUCGGGUGUGUUAUAUACUGCAAGUCGUGGAUGACACGGAAGUUUUCCGGAUCUCGUAGUUACAGCGUACAACCUCUACAGAGUGUAAAACUAUUCGAAUAGCCGUGUCCACAGUCAAGGACAGUUGGAUGGUGCUGCUUAAACUACGCCCAGUUGUUUCUGCAUGAAUCGUGUGUGUGUGUGUGUGUGUGUGUGGUUGAGAAAGAUGAUAUUGUCAAGUCCGGUGACUUGGCAUAUAGGGUGAACCUAAGGUGUUCGGCCCUCAGU